rnacentral:lncRNA from 1 species
AUGCUCAAAAUUCUCCAAGCCAGACUUCAGCAGUAUAUGAACCAUGAACUUCCUGAUGUUCAAGCUGGUUUUAUAAAAGGCAGAGGAACCAGAGAUCAAAUUGCUAACAUCUGCUGGAUCAUGGAAAAAGCAAGGGAGUUCCAGAAAAACAUCUAUUUCUGCUUUAUUGACUAUGCCAAAGCCUUUGACUGUGUGGAUCACAAGAAACUGUGGAAAAUUCUGAAAGAGAUGGGAAUACCAGCCCACCUGACCUGCCUCUUCAGAAACCUGUACACAGGUCAGGAAGCAAUGGUUAGAACUGAACGUGGAACAGGCUGGUUCCAAAUAGAAAAAGGAGUAUGUCAAGGCUGUAUAUUGUCACCCUGCUUAUUCAGCUUAUAUGCAGAGUAUACCAUGAGAAACACUGGGCUGGAGGAAGCACAAGCUGGAAUCAAGACAAGGAAAAAUAUCAAUAACCUCAGAUGUGCAGAUGACACCACCCUUAUGGCAGAAAGUGAAGAGGAACUAAAAAGCCUCUUGAUGAAAGUGAAAGAGGAGAGUGGAAAAGUUGGCUUAAAGCUCAACAUUCAGAAAAUGAAGAUCAUGGCAUCUGGUCCCAUCACUUCAUGGGAAAUAGAUGGGGAAACAGCAGAAACAGUGUCAGUUAUUUUUUCGGGCUCCAAAAUGACUGCUGAUCAUGAUUGCAGCCAUGAAAUUAAAAGACGCUUACUCCUUGAAAGGAAAGUUAUGACCAACCUAGAUAGCAUAUUCAGAAACAGAGACAUUACUUUGCCAACAGAGGUCCAUCUAGUCAAGGCUAUGGUUUUUCCUGUGGUCAUGUAUGGAUGUGAGAGUUGGACUGUGAAGAAUGCUGAGCACCGAAGAAUUGAUGCUUUUGAACUGUGGUGUUGGAGAAGACUCUUGAGAGUCCCUUGGACUACAGGGAGAUCCAACCAGUCCAUUCUAAAGAUCAGUCCUGGGUGUUCUUUGGAAGGACUGAUGCUAAAGCUGAAACUCCAAUUUUUGGCCACUUCAUGCGAAUAUUUGACUCAUCGGAAAAGAUUCUGA